rnacentral:rRNA from 1 species
UAUGUGAUCGUCUCUCGCAUAUCAAUAAGCGGAGGAAAAGAAACUAACAAGGAUUCCCCUAGUAACGGCGAGUGAAGCGGGAAGAGCUCAAAUUUGAAAUCUUAAAGGGUUUCCCUUUACGAAUUGUAGUUUAAAGAAGUGUUUUCUGUUGAGGUUUUGGUAAAAGUUCUUUGGAAUAGGACAUCAUAGAGGGUGAGAAUCCCGUAUUUGACCUUUACUUUCAACUUUGUGAUACACUUUCAAAGAGUCGGAUUGUUUGGGAAUGCAGUCCAAAAUGGGUGGUAAAUUUCAUCUAAAGCUAAAUAUUGGCGAGAGACCGAUAGCGAACAAGUACCGUGAGGGAAAGAUGAAAAGAACUUUGAAAAGAGAGUUAAACAGUACGUGAAAUUGUCAAAAGGGAAGCGUUUGACACCAGUGUUGUUUUUCUGAAAAUCAAUUAAAGAACUGUUUAUGCUAAGUUGUUAGACUUUAUCAGCUAACUGUUUAGUUUUGAGCUUUUCUUUAAUGCACUUUUCAGUUAACAAGUCAACAUCAAUUUCUUUUGCUGUAAAAAAGCUUGAGGAAGGUGGCUUGAGAUUCGUCUUAAGUGUUUAUAGCCUCUUGCCUAUGCAGUCGGAGAGAUUGAGGUCUGCAGCGUAGAUCCUUCGGGGCUAAAUGCAUUUGUGCUAAGUUAUAGCAUUUUAUAGACAACUUGUUGACUAUGAUUUGUCUUGUAGCUUACUCGCUUAUGUUAUUUUACCUACGCUUAGGAUGUUGACACACGCGCGUGCUCG